rnacentral:rRNA from 1 species
GAUGAACGCUGGCGGCGUGCCUAAUACAUGCAAGUCGAGCGAACAGACGAGGAGCUUGCUCCUCUGACGUUAGCGGCGGACGGGUGAGUAACACGUGGAUAACCUACCUAUAAGACUGGGAUACCUUCGGGAAACCGGAGCUAAUACCGGAUAAUAUAUUGAACCGCAUGGUUCAAUAGUGAAAGACGGUUUUGCUGUCACUUAUAGAUGGAUCCGCGCCGCAUUAGCUAGUUGGUAAGGUAACGGCUUACCAAGGCAACGAUGCGUAGCCGACCUGAGAGGGUGAUCGGCCACACUGGAACUGAGACACGGUCCAGACUCCUACGGGAGGCAGCAGUAGGGAAUCUUCCGCAAUGGGCGAAAGCCUGACGGAGCAACGCCGCGUGAGUGAUGAAGGUCUUCGGAUCGGAAAACUCUGGUAUUAGGGAAGAACAAAUGUGUAAGUAACUAUGCACGUCUUGACGGUACCUAAUCAGAAAGCCACGGCUAACUACGUG